GUGGGAGAGCCGGCAGCUGCUUCAGGGCAGCGGAGGUUCCUUUGGAGUCUUGGUUCACGCACUUGCACAUGAUCGUGACCUUGACUCCCAGCAGAGCUCCUGCAAAACAGUCCUUGCCCACCACCCUGACAGGAAACCUGGGCAAGACUCCAAGUCAUAUUUAACACAUUUAUGAGAAACCGACACGUGGCUAUUUCUAGCGUCGGGGUUUGUCUGCCAAGGGCAGACUGGGUAAACAGAAUGGCAUCGUACAAGUGGAGAGCCACCUGCUCCUCACAAAGGCAGCAAUUCAGCUCCGUCAGGAUCUCAUGCCGACCUGUGGGUGGGGCGUGCUCGACCGCGUUCCACGGUGGGGAAACUGAGGCUUGGAGACAGAGGGAGGUUCACAGAGGGGUCCCCAGCUCAUGGCCUCGCACGGAUGGAGUCACCUCUCCAGGGAAGAGCCUGCACCCACCACGUUCUCAUUGCUGGGAGGACAGAGUGAACCAGCCUAGGGGCCGUGUCAGAUCAGCGGCUCCGUGA
rnacentral:lncRNA from 1 species